rnacentral:rRNA from 1 species
UAACCGUGGUAAUUCUAGAGCUAAUACAUGCUGUUAAACCUGACUUUUUGGAAGGGUUGUAUUUAUUAGAUAUUAAAGCCAAUAUUCCUUCGGGUCUAUUGUGGUGAAUCAUAGUAACUGAUCGAAUCUCUUCUUGAGAUAAAUCAUUCAAGUUUCUGCCCUAUCAGCUUUCGAUGGUAGUGUAUUGGACUACCAUGGCAGUCACGGGUAACGGGGAAUUAGGGUUCGGUUCCGGAGAGGGAGCCUGAGAAACGGCUACCACAUCUAAGGAAGGCAGCAGGCGCGUAAAUUACCCAAUCCUGAUUCAGGGAGGUAGUGACAAGAAAUAACAACCUGGGGGACUUUGUCCUUACGGGAUUGCAAUGAGAACAAUUUAAAUGACUUAUCGAGGAACAAUUGGAGGGCAAGUCUGGUGCCAGCAGCCGCGGUAAUUCCAGCU